GGGGGGGCCGGCGGGGCUGGGGGGGGAUUUCCCCAUAACCUGUCCCCCCCGCAUGAUUUGCUGGGGGGGAUGCGUCCCCCCCAUCCCCCCCGGUUCCUACGCCCAUGGUUAGAAGGGGAGGACAGGUCGACAUAUGUUUUUUCAGGAUAAGUACUAUAGUGGCAUGUUUAAGGUCAGAAGGGACAAUGCCAGAAGAGAGAGAGCAGUUGAAGAUGUGUGUUAAGGAAGGCACAAGACAAUGGGAGAG